UCGUGGCAAAAAGACCCCGUGUCACGGUUCUCGUGUUUCUGGAGCAGCGGCCACGCUUCUCGCCUCCCACUCGACACGGACGGCCGUGUUUUCGUCUCUCGCCGCCGCACUCACGACGUCUCACCGCCGCAACACGCCCGCAGCUCAACUCACCACGUCUUACCUUCCGCCGCCCUGUGCGUGUGUUCGACGUUCGUCCUUGAGAAUGUUCCAGAAGCAGCGGCGAGACUCCGCCAACGACCGACCUGUACAAAAAUGAGCGUCACAUGACGGAAAGUGAAGCUUUCCUAUGGAUCAGAGCGGUCAAGCGAACAUGGAUCCCGACCAAAUGUCGACUAGCAGUUUUCGGUGAGAAAAUUGUGGUAAAAAGUCGCCACUUACCGGAGAUCAGCUGAGCUUGUGCCGUCCAUACUGCUGCCGUCGACUUCCAUCAGACACUGGCCUCAAGACAACCGUGGACAAACCCCUCCGACUAUCAGACUACCAUCAAACCGCUUCCUGACCGUCUCUUCAUAAUUUUUUUCCCUUGGCCAGAGUCUGCACCCCCUCUCCAGGGCCCAGGCUAAGACCGAUUUUUUAAUUUUAUUUUAAUCUUCUAUUUUUAUCUCCCAUCCAACGCCCCCUCCUUGUUUACCUGUAUCUCAUCUUUUUUGUAAGGGGCGCUGGAAGCCGGCAGACCCGUCAGCGAUCCUGUUCUGUCUCCCUGUAAUAUUUGUCUGAUCUUGAAUGGGAUUGUGCUGAAAAUUUUAAUUUUCCUGAAGGAACUCUCCUGACGGAAUAAAUAAAGUACUAUCUAAUCUAUCU